UCCAUCAUUCCAGAUACCGUCUGAUGAGGGGCCUGGCUUCUUGUUGCCUCGUUUCCCACUGCUUUCUCAAGAACAUGUCUGCAACUCCUUUCAUAUGAACACAGGAAGAAACAAGGAACAAGAUGGACAGCUGUUUGGAUGACCUGAGUGGAGCAAUAAAGGAGGGAGAUGUGCUCCAGGUUGAUUGGAGAAAAGAGUGCCAAGUGACCUACAAAGGCAUCACCUCCCAAACUCAGGACUGGGAAACCCACGCAUCUGGGGCAGAAGGGUUAAAAUAUUUGGACACCCUGUCAGCAUUGCUGAAGCCAGAUGAGGGACAAAGGAAAGAAUAUCUGCCACUAUUUCAUAAGUACCAAUGGGCUUGUGUCCAUCCCAAGGAGGGGAUACCAAGUAACAUCUGUGUCUGUAAAGCAUACAGCCUCAAGUUUUUAAAAUUUUUCUUUCUUGGUUCUGCAACAGUGCCAUGAUAUGCCAUGAUAUUCCUUUUCCCUAUGUAUGUGUGCUUUAGAGUGUAAAGCUGUGUUAUAGUGAAUAAAGAUAUUUCUCUUGCAAGAA